GGUGUGCUCCUGGUGCCGCUGCCGCGGGGCGUCCUCGGGCCGCGACUCAACCCGUUGGCUGGCCCGGGCGAUGCCGUGCGUGCUCGCCCGACUGACCCCGGCACUGGGGGCAGCCGGUCCCUUCGGCCGAUUGUCGGUCAACGGCCGAGGACGCGGUGGAGGCAGCUGUGUUUGCUGCACCCUCGAGGGCUCGGGGUUCUCCUGAGUCCACGACUCGGGUCGCACGUCGCGCGACCACGUGUGUGCCGCUGGGGCCUCACGCGGGUCUAUGCGUGAGUCACCAGCCCGCUUGGGGGGCAUGGUGACUAGACUCGUCGGCGAAGAAGAGCGAAGCCGGCGCCGAUGGAAACUCUCCUGCCGACGAUCUCUGGCGUUGUCCACUCCCGUGCCCCCUACCAGACGCGCCAGAUGUCGUCGCUCGGUGCUCCCUUUUAGGUUCGGUAGGGGCGUCUGGGGCAUAGACCUGACGAUCACCGGCACGGCCGAUGGGGCCCUGUGGGGCCAGCGAGACGAAGUGCUAAGGGUGCGCGCUAAUCUAAGAACAGUUGCACGCACGUUUUUACCCAGGUUCGGGCCACCCGGAGGUGUAAAACCCUACGUCCUGCUUGUCUGAGCUGAUAUUGAUUGCGGAUCAAAUGCUUACAAGUUGCCAGGCAAGCUCCCGGGCUUUCUCUCAGUGGCUAGGUGCUCCUCACUAUUCUCCGCUGGCUGUCUACUGGAGCCAACUAAGCUCCUACCGAGCGAACUGAGAGAACUUGCUGAGCCGAGCCAGAGAACAAUGCGGAACCGAGCAACUGUCCAACCCCCUGACCGUUGGCAUGGGUCCUCCUUUUAUACUCAAGGGGAUGCCACAGGCGCCAUGGUGCAUGGGCUACAAGUGUCUAACGGGGAGGCAUACAACUCCCCCCGGUGAGCUGGUGGCGUGCAUGGGUGCCACCUUCGCUGCUAGGGCCCUAAAACCCUAGGGUAGGACUGGACAACCACUGUUCCUUUGAUCGGACGGGUAACUACCCGUCGGUCGGCUCGUUUACCGAGCCGUGCGCCUUACUCCUUGCCUUGGUGGGAUCGCGCGUCCCGCGCCCGCCACGCGCCCGCGUGGCGCUGUCCACUGGGCCCCACGCCCGAGGCGGGGGCACGCGCCCGGGAACCCCCAAUCCUAGUAAGUCGACCCCGGGAAGCACCCGGGCCCAACGCACCCGGGAACCCCCUCCCGGGAAGCAGCUUCCCGGGAGGUGCCCAGGCGGGAAUAUUCCCCGAAGCCCCGCGAGCCCCUUUCGGGCUGGUAGCUUGCCGGGGAGCUCAUAGACGCUCCCCGGGAUGAGACCUUCUCGGGAACCCGGGAACGGGGCCCACGCGUCGCGCAGUGGUGGUACCCCGGGUGCCACUGGUGCGACAGGCAAAGGAUCAGGUGGUGAGCUCUGUGCUCGUUGCCGAGAGAGAAGAGCAAAUCCUGGGGGCUGAGACGGAAGAACUGGGGGCUCGCGGCGAGCCAGGAGAACCCCCGGCUACAUCUUCUGCCCCUUGAUCCGGGGGACAGCCCAUGCAGGCUGCUCCCCGCAAGCGACUAGUGCAGCAUCCAGUGUACUUCGUUAGCACGGUGUUGCGCGACGCCCAGGUACGGUACCCGCAGGUACAGAAGCUUCUCCUUGGGAUCCUGCUCGCUUCAAGGAAGCUGUGCCAUUACUUCCAGGACAGCAUCACGGUGGUGUCGGGGUUCUGUUUGGAGAGGGCCCUCACCAACCGUGAAGCCACCGGAAGGGUGGCCGAGUGGAGAAUGAAGCUGGCAAAGUUCGGGCUGCGUUUCGUGAACACUAAGAGUAUCAAGAGCGCCGCUCUCGCUGACUUUGUCGUGGAGUGGACAUCGACGGGCGUAGACGAAGAAGAGCCGGGAGUGAGCCUCCCCCGCGCAUUAGACGAAGGGUGUUGGGUCAUGUACUUCGAUGGCGCUUUCUGCUUGCAGGCCGCCGGCGCCGGAGUAGUGAUCGAGUCGCCCACCGGAGAUCAACUCAAGUUUGUAAUCCAGCUUGACUUCGCCAACUCCACCAACAAUACAGCAGAGUACGAGGGAUUGCUUGCCGGCCUGCGCGCGGCAAUCGCCCUCGACAUCAAGCGCCAGGUUGUUCGCGGGGAUUCCCAACUCGUGAUCAACCAGGUGAACAAGGACUACGACUGCCCCCAGAUGGCAGCGUACGUGGAAGAGGUGCGGAAAUUGGAGUCCAAGUUCAAAGGACUUUAAUUUGAGCACGUAAAGCGCAUGGACAACUUUGUUGCGGAUGAACUGUCCAAGUGGGCAGCGGAAAGCAGCAAAGUGCCUCCUGGGGUGUUCGUGCAGAGGCAGUCGAAGCCCUCUGUCGACCCCAAGACAGUUGCCGGGGAAGCCCCUCCGGCAACUCAAGGUGACCCUGCAACCACAGGGGACCAUGCCACCAAUGGUGGCAUACACUAGCCGGGAGCCACCACCUUGGGGGGCAGAUAUUAUUCGCUACCUCAGGUACGGGACCUCCCGGCGGAAGACCUUGCCACGGAGCGAGUAGCCCGGCAAGCUAAAGUGUACGCCUUGGUGGAUGGAGAACUCUACCGGAGGCGUCCCAACGGAGUUAUGCUCCUCUGCGUGCCCCAGGAGGAAGGGCACGCAUUGCUGGAAGAAAUACACCAAGGCACAUGCUCACACCAUGUGGCCUCCAGGGCACUAGUUGGGAAAGCGUUCCGACACGGUUUCUACUGGCCGAUAGCACUCGCCGAUGCCGAGCAAUUAGUCAAGACCUGUUAAGCAUGCCAGUUCCACGCCAAGAUGAGCAUCCAGCCAGUGCAAGCCCUGCAAGUCAUCCCGUCCUCAUGGCCGUUAGCGGUCUGGGGGCUGGAUAUCGUCGGCAAGUUACCAAGGGCAGUCGGCGGCUACGAGUACUUGCUCGUGGCCAUCAACAAGUUCUCGAAGUGGAUCGAGGUUGAGCCUGUCCGAGCCGUCACGGCGCAGGCAGCCAUCAAGUUCUUCAAAAGCAUUGUGUGCCGGUUUGGUGUGCCUAACGGCAUCAUCACCGACAACGGCACGCAAUUCACUAGUGCAGUGUUCCAAGCAUACUGCAAGGACAUGGACACUAAGAUUCACUUUGCCUCCGUUGCCUAUCCAAGGAGCGACGGACAAGUUGAACGAGCUAACACAAAGGUGCUGCGAGGGCUCAAAACGAGAACCUUUGACAAGCUCAAAGGCAACGGGAAGCACUGGGUUGAAGAACUCCAGCCCGUGCUGGUCGUUGCGGACCACACCGAGUCCGGCGAUGGGUCAAACUCCGUUUGCCCUCGUCUACGGGGAAGAAGCUGUGCUACCCCUCGAGCUCAAGUAUGGAUCACCUCGGGUACGCGCGUACGGCGACAAGAGCCAACACGAGCAGAGGAUUGAUGACCUUACCUUCAUCGAGGAGAUUCAAUGUCGGGCUGCAGUACAAGCUGCGUGCUACUAGCAGGGACUCCGUCGUUAUCACGACAGAAGAGUCAGUCCCCGGGAGCUCGAGGUUGGAGACCUCGUCCUGCCGGAUACAAGGAAUGAAGGCAAGGAACAAGUUCACUCCAAUCUGGGAAGGCCCUUUCCGGGUAGUGCAGAUGACCAGACCCGGGGCUGUCCGGCUGGAAACUGAAGAAGGCUUGCCGGUGCCCAAUAGUUGGAACAUUGCGCACCUGCGCAAGUUCUACCCGUGAAACGGUGACGCCUUACCCACGGGUGACACUGUGGCAGCGUACCUCUUUAAGCUAGUGUAGCCGGGCAAGCCCGAUUGUAAUCCGCUAGCACAAAGUUAAAAAAAGAUAAGAGUUACAUUGGUAAAUAUUGUGUUUUAUUGCUUAUAAAUGCUUCUGUCUCCUGCUCUAGGUGCACAGAAUUGUCUCAUCAUCCUUGGCUGUGAGCAGUGGGCUGCCGGAACCCCGAAAACCAAAUCUCGUUGCCGGGACGCACCGGAACGAGGCCCAGCAGUUGCCGGACCCGUCCGCAACUUGCUACGUGCCAGCGAGGCACCAUGGAAAUGUAAAGAUGCUCACAACCAGGAUUGAGGUCGACUCUUCUGUGCCCGGGGGCUGGGAGGCAGGAGGUUAUCCAGUUUAUAUUGUUUUUCGUACAUUUCAAAAAAAAUUGUUAUGUACCUUGGGCACUACAGGAAUCUGACAUGCAGGAUAAAGAUAGGGAUCAAACACGCUAGGGUACUCGUGAAGUACUCACGGGUCAUGUCGUCUAGCGGGUAGCCACUGGUGCAUGGCGACCGCUUCAAGGCUUUUACCUCAGGAGGGUGUCGUCACGUGUACCACUGUAGCUCGGCGCGGCGGUAGGAUUCUUCGCCAUGCCUAUAAAAAAGCAUGGUGGCCACGGAGCAACUCAGAGCAAAGCCAAGGAGAUGGCUACAAAGGUGAGGGAGGCCGCAGAGACACGGUGGUGGUGCAUGCCAUCAGUGCCCGGUACCGAUGGGUGCACGGCCACUGUGUCCUUGCUGCAUCACUCCAAUAGGCAUUUCCAAGGCGAGGGUUGCCGCGGAGACGCUGUGGUGGUGCAUGCCAUCAGUGCUCAGCGCCGAUGGGUGCACUGCCACUGCGCCCUUGCCGCAUCCCUUUAGCAGGCGCGCCAAGUGCAGAAUCGAUACGUUCGACAAGGGGACGGGAAGCUAAGUAUCUCACUUUGGGUCCUUAGUUUUCCUCUCUCAGUAACGCUGGCUUGCCGGGGUGGGUUCGGUCCCCAUGUUGCCGGAGCGUAGGAAGGACGCUUGCAGGGUGAGGACGCCCCCCACACGUGGCUCGAGGGUCCGUCCCAGAGGCGUGUGCGCGGGGGUAGUUAACCCACGGGCGGAGUGGCUAGCCGCUACUGUUUGCCCUAGGUCGGCACUGCGGGUCCGUCCCGGGUCCCUAGUCUGGCCAGGCAUGUGGUUGGCGAGUUCUCGGGUACGCAAGGCUAAAAGCACGAGAAGGACAGAGCCCUUCCCCCGCAAGUUAGUCUUAGGAAGAGAAGCAAGUAAAAAUAACAUCGGAUAUAUUUAUAUUGAAGCUUGGUCGAAACAAGUUGAUAGAAAACACUAGCAAUGACAAGGGAAGCUAACAUAAAAAGUACUAAGGCGCCUCGCGCCGCUUGCAGGAAAGCACAAAGAAAAAGAAAAGAAAAAAGGAACUACGCGGGAGGAGCUCCCAGGACGGCUGCGUCGGUGUCAGGGACGUCCUUGUCAUCGGGGGCUUCUCCGGCAACCUCCUCAGCAGUGGCUUCGUCGUCGUUGACCUUGCCCUGCAUCCGAGCCACCAUCUCAUCCACCGCGCUCUGCACCGCCUCCCGGUGAGCCUUGGCCUCUUCUUCGUCCGACCAGGCAUCGAAGACCGACUCGAACGGGAAGUCGGGGUGGGCGGAGUGGACCCGGGAGAGGAUCGGCCCGACAACCUGCUCGGCCGCGAGGCCGACAUUCCGGUCGCCGAAGGCCGUGACGCAAGUUUGGAGGCCGCCCAGCCGGCCGACGAAAUCCGUGAAGAACGAAGUGUAGCUCCCCAGAUCCGUCCCACCGAAAGUAGCCACCGGGAUGUCGAAUCCCCGUAGCGCUUCCACCGCCGAGUCGGCUAGCUUCUUCAGCUUGGCCACCUCCCCUACCCUGCGGGCCCGCAGUUCGGUGCACGCGCCCCGAGACUCCUGGGCCUGCAGCUUGUGCUCGCAGCACUCAGACUUCAGCCGACUGAUCUCUGACGCUUUCUUGGUGUUGUCGUCGUCGAUCAAUCGGAGCUCCUAUCGCGCUGCAUCGAGCUCGCCCUCAAGGGACGAGCUGGCAACUUGGGCGGCCUUGAGCUGCCCCGCCCGCUUGCGCUCCCAGGAGCGGGCCUGCUACUGCAACUCCUUCUCCCGGCGCGCUGAAGCCUCGGCUGCUGCUGCAGCCGCCGUCUCCAGCUCUCCGACAUCGCGGCGGAGGCACUGGAUCUCCAGGGAGUAGCCGGACAGCAGGUCCGUCUUCUCCCGGAGACGCCCCUGGAACGAGUCCAGAGCCGCCUGGUGCUCCUCCUCCCUCUUGGCGUGUGAGGCCUUCACCUGUUCGAGCUCCCGCUGGUGCUCUUGCUGGAGGUCCCAUAGCUGCUGGAGGACCUGCGCCUCUGUCAGAUCUUGCACGACAGGCGCUGCCCUGGCUUGCCGCGCCUGUUGGAGCUCCUCCUGGAGCCGCCGCAGCUUGGUGCGCUGCUCCUCCGCCUCCCGUCGCGCCGCGCCCAGCUCCGCCACGACGCGGGCAUGGUGCUGCUGCGCGUCAUUCAGGAAAUCGACAAACAUCCACUGUUGCAGCUGGAUGUUGUCGAUCACCUUGUGCCCUUGCUAGAACACGCUGGGGUCGAAGGUGAUCCGACCCCAGGUUCGCCCGGCAAGCUCCCCUACCCCCAGGCUGAAGGUUGGUUCGGCGGAGCAGGAGGACCCCGCCACGACCGUUUGCGAUCCAGAGGGCGCGUCAGGAUUUAGAGGCGCGCCCCCGGCAUGGCCGAGCCCCGCUGCUCCCUGCUCGUCCGGAGGGGCGAGCUGGGGGCUCGGGGGCUUCUCAAGAGUGUCGCCACCCGCCCCGGCCGGCGGGGGCUGCUCUGCACUGCCUGCCUCAGAUGGCGCCCCCUGCAAGGCGUCGCCUGCAGCGGCGGCCAUGGCCUCAGUGGACGCCGUGGCCGGUUGCUGAAGGGCUCUGGCAGGAGCAAUCUCCGCCAGAGCAUCUUCAUCAACCUCGCCCUCGUAAGGUCGAUGACCCGCACCUCGGUAGGCGCGGGCGCAGCGGGCACCCCUCCGGCAGCUGCACAAGUGAAGCUUGCAUCAAACAUAAGGAUUGACACAAAUUGCAAGGGAAAAACUUGAACUUGCGCGUACCUGCCGCCGGAUCGGUGCCCUGCGAGCUCGAGUCAGUCCCCCGCAGCUGCUGCCGCCGCCACAACUGCCGCGUCAGAGGCGUCUUGGUCACCGCCGCCCGGAGCUGGGCAGGGCUUCUUUGUUGGGGCAGCUGGCGACACGCUGGUCUGCCCCCUCUUCCUUGACGAACUGGAAAACGAAGAAACAAGUUAGCCAGGCACAGAAUAGUUAAGCAGAGUUGAAGAUGUUCGGGGUGGGAUCAGACUUACCCCGUUGGCCUAAGCUUGAGCACCCUGUCCGCCAGGAUGCUCCUUGCCGGAGGUCCGCUCCGCACAGGGGGAGCUGCCGGGGUGGUCGGGGCGGCUACCGCAGCUACGCCACUGCUGCCGGAGACCCCAGCCCCCGCGUCGCCGCGAGGCUCCUAGAGCUGCGGGCUAGCCUCCCGCCUGAUCGCCCGCUCCACCGCGGACAACCUCACCAGGGGGACGUCGUCUUCUUCGUCCUCCUCCUCCUCCGCCACGCCCCCGCCGGCUGCCGGGGGAGCGUCGUCGUCGCCAUCAUCGCUCAGGUCUCCUCCAACCCCAAGUGAAGAGUCGUCGGAGUCCGAGCCCUCCGCCUCGGCGGGCGUCUGGCCUUGCCCCCCUUUCCCUGAGCUCGGGGGCUUCUGGGGCCUGGGCUGCGGGGUGGGGGGGGGGGGAAGGUUGCGCCGAGGGAUCCUCCAUGAUCCCUCACUCAUCGCAGGGUUGAAGAUGCUCUGGGCGGGAGCAACCGGCAAGGUUCGUCCUCGCCGGUGAUGCCCUUCACCCAGAACUGCACCUCCUCCGGGAGCAGAUCCGUGCGCUGCAGCCGGGUCCGGUCGCCGGGCCCGGUGUACAGCCACGCCGGAUGCGAGCGCCGCUGCAGGGGGGCCACGCGCCUCCCGAUGAAGUGGCGUGCCACAUCUGUGUCCGUGAGCCCGGCAUCGCGGAGCGCCCUGAUCUAUGCGCAGAUCGGGGCCAACUCCGCGUCCUUCGAGUGGCGGAGCGUCCAGUCGUCAGAGCCCUUCGGAGGCCCGAGUGGCUCCUCGUGGAACUUCUGGAGCUCGUCGGUGCGCACCCAGCACCAAUCGCGGCGCCAUUCGGACUCGAUCUUCUCCUUCCCCGGCUCCAUGAAUUAUGAUUUGAGCCGGUCGCGGAAGUGGAACAGCACGCCCGAGGACAGAGAUGUCUUCUUCUCCACCCUCGGGUAGAAGUAGUGGCGGAACAGCGCCACCAACGGCAUCACCCCCACGAACGCUUCACAAAGGUGUUAAAAAACAGCCAAUGUGAAGAACGAGGUGGGGUGGAGCUGCGCCAUGAGGAGCCCGUAGGACUCCAUGAUGGCGGAGAGAAAGUAUGAGUACGGCGGCACGAACCCGGCGAGCACGAACCUCCCGAAGAUCCGGAAGUAAUGCCCGUCACGCUCCACGCUGACAGGGAGAAUCCGCAUUGGCCCAUGCUCGUUGUGCUGGGUGGCCAACGCCAGGGCCAGCUUUUCGGCUCCCUCGCCGUUUUAGCCGGGGGGAGAAGAAGGCGAACUUGGCUCGCAUCUCAUCAUCUUUCCGGGCUCUGUCCAAGAGCUCCUUCUUCCCGGCCUUGUCGUGCUUGUCCCGUUUGCUGGUGCUCCCCUUGGGACGGUUCUGCCCCUUGGAAGACAUCGGCGGAGGAGGAGAAGGGAGUUUGGUCGGAGUGGGAGUGCGGGGACCUUGGAAAGAGGCAAUGGCACAAGAGAAAGGCAGUGGGGAGUGCUGCCGCCAGUCUUGGGUAUUUAUUGGGGCUGGUGGAUUGCAACGGACACCCCCACGAUGGGCAGCGAAGAGGCCUAAAGAACCGGAGAUUAAGAGGGGAGUGCACGACGUGGCCUUAACUCGCUGGUGAUUAAGAGAGAUAAGGCACGAGAUCGUGCGCCCGACCGUUUCGCUCAAAGGAGUGGGACGAUAAAAGCGGCCCACGGGGCCGGGUGCCCAGGGGUUUUCCCCUUGGGGACCCACGCGUCGGAUAGGGUGUAGCCCGGCAACCGACCGAGGAUAGCACUUGAAGAGGCGUCAAGGUUGCUGGCCCACACCCGGGGGCUACUGUCGUACCAGUGGCCCACGGGGUCCCAUUGAUACUGGACAUGUGGGUCGCCUUUGACGGGGCCGCAUCAGGAAGGACUCCCAGGAAGUAACGAGCCCGGGAAGCCUGCCUUGAGGGGACGGCCCCCAGUGAAGACAAAACUAGGAGCCAAGUACGGAGCGCUCCCGGAGACCCCGACCCCGGGAAGUCAUAGGAGCGCCUCCCGGCAACUAGCGGAUGCGCUAGCCGGGAAGGUGCACCCCGUCAAUCCACGCUCGGGCAUGCAGGCGGGACCCGCAGAACAGUGAAGACAGGACAAGACUGCGGGUGCGGUGCAUUUAAUGCACCGACAGGAGUCUUUAUCAGCAGGCCUAGUCUUGUUUAGCAAGGCUAGAACGGUCGCCCUAAGAGCUACUUUUUCUACCGUAUAUAGUAGGACGGGCACUACAUGGCGUCCAGCGUGGAUGAACAAAUUUGUAUUUCAUGUGGGCGUGACACGUGUCUAGCUAACGUGUCACGCUACACACCGUGGCACCUGUGGUAUCCCCUUGCAUAUAAAAGGAGGACCAAUGCCACCGGAAAAAGGGUUCCGACCCAAGUAAUUAGAACACAUCAUAGCAUUCACUCAAGUAGCAAGCCCGGGAACCCCCCAGGCAAUCUGUACACUCUUAAACUUGUGAAUAUAACAAAGAGUAGGACGUAGGGUGUUACACCUCCGGGUGGCCCAAACCUGGGUAAAACUCUCGCGUUUACUCUUCGUGCCUAACGCCACGCCGGCGAUCGCCGGAGCGAUCACCUCGCCCUCCACCGAACCAAAAAGGGGGUGCUCAGCAUCCCUGGUGCCGGAGGCCGUGCUACGACAGUGAUGGCAACUUUUUUAUGUGACUCAGUGAUGGCAACUUUACGUAAUAAAAGAUGGCAACUUCACACCACGUCUGUGUGGCAAUUCUGUAUUUUUUCCUUCUAACUAAAAUUAUUUUUUGUGCAUAUCUCAAGUAAAUCACAGACAUAAUAGCGCAGACCCAAACAUUUCAAAAUCUCAAGGCAAUACUUAGUUUUUUGAGUAAGGCAACUAAUGACUACUUGCGUUACACUUCCACUUUAUAGUCGUAAUCAUCACAUUUUUCAAAAUCAUCACAAGUUUCCGCCAAGUAUCACAUAUUACUAACUAUUCUUAUAGCAAGACAAAUUUAGAUCAUUAUCAGAUGCGCAUUUUGCCGACUCUUUUUUUUCCUUUUUUUCUGCUCUAACUGCACGCUGCACGAUCUGCCAUCCUUUGAUGGCAUGUCCUCGCAUCGUGAUCGGCCGAUCUACAAAUGCUGCAUCGCCCUCUUUUCUUUGGUGCCUUUGGCUCGAUAUCCAGCGCUGACUUGAAACGCCUCUCCUUGGGCCUCCCUUUUGUUGCUGUCAUAGACGGGUCCCUAAUCUCACACCCUGUCGAUGCAGCAGAAACUUCAUCCGUAACAGUUUCAUCGGUGGCAUGCCCCCUCAUUGCUUCUCCUGUUCCUUCUGCCACAGCCCCCGCAGCAGAUCCUUCAGUUGCAGCCCUUGUCGCAGACCCUCCUGCCCCCCCCCCCCCUGGAUGUUGAUCCUUCCUGUGCAGCCCCUGACGCAGACCCUUGUGGUACAACACCUUGUCUCCUAGACAAACCAAUCGCUUCUUUUGCUCUCGCAUCUUUUUCUUGCCUCUUCCUCAGUGAAGCCAUCUCGCUUCUCAUUGCUUUCAUGUGCCUCUCUACUAUCCUAACUGCAUCUUGAUCAUCACAAGCCUCUUUGGCAAUGUCACCAAAACCCCUUUUCAUUGUUGCAUAGCGCAUCAGCUUCCUAGAAUUCUCUGGCAUCUCCUGUUGCGCGGGGUUUAGCUGCUGCGUGCCGUGCAGCCCGAGUGCGGCAUCUGCGUUCCACGUCCACCUCUUGAGGAUGUAGUGCUGCGGCAGGACCCUGACGCCUUCCUGCUGCAUAACUCUCAGGAUGUGGCAGCACACGAUCCCAUCCCUAUCAAACUUGCAACAUUCACAAGAGUACAUGCCUGCCUCUAUAUCAGCAGCCAACCUGAAUGUCCUUGCGUCGUACUGUCCGGAAUGGCAGGUCAUCGAAAUGGCCUCAAAUGUGUUCUGCCCAGUCCGCGCGCAAUGGUACGAGGAUGUCAUUUGUAGCUUCUCCUGAAACCUGGAGCUCCAAGCAAAUCAAAUACAGUUAAUAAGUUUUUUUUUGCAAGGCAACAAUACUUGAAAACAUGGGGCAACUUUUAGCACCACCCAUUGGCAACAUCAUUUACUACAAAUUCCCAUUUCUUUUUUAGCAGCCUAUGUGAGAAUUUCAAACUAAGCAUCUCCAGAUUGGCAAACGUAGCUAUCUGACACUAGCAACUUGGCAUUUUUAAUACGUGGCAACUUUGUAUAUGUCAUUAUUUCUAAAAUAGUACCAACUUUUACCAAAAGACAAGCUAAUAUGAUUAUGAUUUUUGCGAGGCAACAGCAUAUGAAAUCAUGUGGUAGCUUUAAACAGCCCCCUUUGGCAACUUCAUUAAUUUUAAAAAUACCAAUCUUUUUUCUUCAGCGGGACCUUCCUGAGAAUUUUCAAACUAAGUUUCUUCUUCAUAGUUUUUUUUUGGGGGGGGGGGGGGGGGGGGUAUGUGUCAUGUGUGUCACAGCGGCAAGUUCAUCAAUGUGGCACUGGCAACUAAACUUGUGUUACACUGGCUACUUUUAGGAAUAAAUGCAAUGCUUAAAAAAUAAAAUAAAAAAACUUUUGUGUGCGCAUAUCAUGGCGGAGAUGCGAGUGGGGGGGUUCCGUGUCACCUGUUAAACAUCCUUCUUGUGUAUACCAACUUCACCUGUUCCUCUAUCGGGCUGAACCCCCAUUUCUUCGGCACGGUGAGCGCCGUUUCAGCCUCAGCUUGCCUCUCUACUCCUAGUAUCUUCUCUUGCAGAGCCGAGUAUUGCUGCGCAAAGUCGUAUAUUGAAUUGCUGGGGCUGACAUAUCUUUUUAACACGGCAUUGAACCCCUCGCUCCGCUGCGUGGACUGCAAAAAAGGGUAGAAACUGAGCAUGAAGUAUGCAGGCACCCAACUUGUCCGGUUUUCCCAUAGAGAUGAUAGGUCCUCAUUAUCUUGCACUUGAUAUUUCUCAAUCAUUGCGCCCCACUUCAACUCAAAUUCUGCCGGUGUGAAGCUAUUGUUUAUGCAGUCCUCAAAAUCAGCGUGCCGCUCCAGGUUCCUGCCCAUGAAUCCACCCAUCUUUUCUUGCGCUUUCUUCAUAAUGUGCCAGCGACAAUUCCUAUGUCUUGUUUCUGGGAAAACCUCUAAUAUCGUGUUCCUCAUUGCAAAGUCUUGGUCUGUUGUGAUAUUUGCGGGUGCAAUCCCAUCCAUCGCUUCCAAGAAUGUAUUGAACAACCAUAUGAAGCUGAGGGUGUCUUCGUUUCGCAGGAACCCACACCCAAACUGAACCGAUUGACAAUGGUUGUUUACUCCAAUGAAAGGCACGCACGGCAUGUUGUACUUAUUUGUCAGAUAUGUAAUGUCAAAGGAAAUGCAGUCGUUGUAGUACUUGUAUGAUCUCCUGGCUUCUACGUCUAUCCAAUACAAGUUGAUCACCCUAUCUUCAUUGUCUAGCUCGAAGCUAUAGAAGAAGUCGUCAUCCUCUUUCUUCAGUUUUUUGAAAUACCGGAGCGUGUACUUCAUGUCCAUUAAACAAUGCUCUCUCCGCAGUGCCGCUCUGAAGUUGGCCAUGUUUGUUCUUGUGUACGACAAAUUGUUCAGCUUGCCAUGUAGGGUUGACAAGAUCUGCAUCAUUUGGCUUGUCCGAAGGUUGCAAGCAUGCAGAAGCUUCACAAACUCCCUCUCUUCCCUCGGCAUGUGGCGGUGCGAUCGCAAGUACUUGCCAAGAUCGAAUUUCUUUAACACAUUGUGGUUGUGCUCUUCCUCAAACUGCUCCGCGGUAUAUGUUGCACCAUCCAGCUUUACCUUCAUUCUUGCAUGGCAACUAGUCCUUUCUGUAAUGUUUCUUUUCCUUUUGGGGACCACUGAUUCCGGACGAUGUGGGUCCUCCCUUUCUUUUUUGUUCCUGCCUGCCAAGUAACAUACGAACUGAGCUCGGCUUGUUUCGCCACUCUUUAUAGGCCUCUGGUAAUCUAUCCUUAUGCCAAAGCCGUUCCAUCUUGCAUAGUCCAGAUAGUGUUUUUUAGCUGAUGCAAUGCUAUCGAACCUCAUGCCCACUGUUGGUUUCACAGGAGCUGACAUCACGUCAUCAGCAUCUUCGUCAUCCUCAUUGUUAUCUCCAUCAACUGCCCUUUCUCCACUCGAUCCGUGCGACAAAGGGGUUUCUGGCACCAUGCCUGUCCCGACAUUUUCAGUGUGCGUAGCCCCCCCUAUAGGACUUGGAUCUGCACAAAAUUACAUGAAAACAAUGUAAUGUAGGCGAAAAAAAUCAACCAGCGCGUUCUGCGGAAAACUAGCUACCGAUGUAGUCGUUCCAUGGCAACUACAAGCUUUUGCCAUGUUUGUCGUAUUGUCAUGGGCAGCUCAACACCUUACCACGCGGCAACUUUAGAAUUCAUGUUAUGGCAAUUUCAUGUCAAUUAAAAUGGCAACUCUUUUUUACCUCCUGCCUUCUCUUGUUGAAGUAGCACACGAGAGACACUGUCAACAAACCUACUCGGUUUUGAAUGCUCCACGUUAGUGCGGCAGACCUGCAACGGAGUAGUAUUAGACAAAAAAAUUAAUUGGGGGUGGGGAGGGGGAAAAUGACAAUGGAAACCCUGUUGUCUUGUUUUUUCUUUUCUUUUUUUGUUCGCUAUACCUUGCGGCAACACUGGCUCAUGUAGCAUAUUCUGUGUGAUGUGGUCCAUUUUCAUACGCAAUGCGUUGACCUGUAGCAUCAACCGCAACCUCAUCUGCAUCGUGCGGACCUGCACCAACAAUGCAUGGUUUACUUCACAUGUAUGUAAUUACAGUAUCCAGUGUCCGGCAAUUUUUAGCAUGACAUUGAUGGCAACUUUUAAGUUGAGAUGAACUGCAGCACAUCAUUUCUGACCAAUAAUCAAUCUCACAGAUGCAAGUGUUUAUUUAUUUUUUUGAAAACCUUCCGAAAGCGAUAUGACUAGAUGUAGCAGCGGUAGCAGCGGGUAUGAGGCAUGCAGUCCAUCAAAGGUUUCCGCCAAAACAUCAUCCGGGGUCAAUGAUGGGAAGCCCCAUGAAGGAAAAAUAUUGCCCACGCCCCCUUCCAUGUUGCAAUCCUUUCGGGUUUUUUCCUUUUUCGCAGGCGCCCUCCUGUUUAGAUAAGGAAAUACAUCCUCAAACUAGUACACACUUUGUCAUUGCAAGGUCAAACCAUUGUAGCAGUUUUGCAUGGUUAUUUGUUUAUAAUAACCGCAUCAAAUUAACCAUUUGUGUUCUUCACAUACAUGCAGGAGGAGGGAGGGGGUCAUGGUACGUUGCUAUUCUGGACAACCUACCAACACCAGGCCGUGUUUGGACAACAUUUGAAGUGGGGCCAGAUAUGUCUACACAUAUUAAUAUGUUUUUCAUUUUCAGCUCUUUAAAUGCAACAUCCCAGAAUUUUCCAAUUCUGGAAUGUUAAAUAAAAUAAUUAUUUUAAUGAAAAUAUUGGCUUUGGAAAUAUUUUGGUUGUGAAUUUCUGAAGGAUUUGAAAUGUUUAGGACUUAUUUAAAUUUUUCCACACCAUGUUUGAAUAUUCAACAAAAGAGUAGAUUAAUAUGACUAUCCAAAUUAUACAACAUGGUUGGGACAUUUAUGUAAGUUCAUAGUUAUUCUAUUUUGGACCCACAUGCAUCUUAUGAUUUCCACCGAAUUAUUCUUUGCAUCUAAAUAAAUCCUACGUUCUUUUUGAAGGAUUUACUAGCACGCUAAGUUUCCAAUUCCUCAUGUGCAAAUGUUAUUCCAACAUUUAUUCCAUUGUUGAGAGUGGGAUAACGUGACUUCCCAAAAAUAUAUAGUGGAAACAUCUGCGAUGUUUACAUGGUUUGUGAUUUAGUGUUAUAAAGCCAUUUGAGAAUUUUAUUGAACCGUAUAAUUAUUAUAAGAUGUUAUUUGGAGUUCAACCCCAUGGGGUAUUUAGCUAAGGAAGGGUUUAGUUUCAUAAUAGAUUUCAAAACCUAUUUUAUGUAUUACUUAUAAAGCCCUAAUGACAUUUAUAUAAGCAAAAGUAUUUUUACUUAUUUUAUUUUGAAAGGAUUCAAGUCCCAAAAGUUCACACUUUGGAGGAUUUGAAUUUACAAAUUUACUGGAGUUUAUUUGGACUUAUUUAGAGUUAGGAAUUAAAAGUUAUUAAUAAAAACAGAAAAAAAAAUGCACCGACCCAACUGGGCCGGCCCAUCUCCACCGAACGCACCAGCCCAGCCACGAGCACCACGUGCUUGUUCCUUGUUUGCACGUAAGGAAAACAUUAUUUCCAUAUUUUCUUUUUUCGAUUUCUUUUCUUCCCGCGCGUCUCUCUUCAAAAGGAAACGACCCCAUCAAUCCUCACCAUCUCGGGAACCCAUUCAGGAAAUCAAUUUGAAAUUUCCUCUCAUUAUCGCAAUUUCCAAAAGAGGUGCCCCGAAUGUCGGCCGUCGACAUCCAUGCCCGAUCUCCCUCCUCGGCCACUAUAAAAGGAUUCCACGCACGUCACUUUGAGCCUUUGCCUUUCCUCUCUCAUUCCCAUGUAGAAAGUUUGCCCUCAAAACCUCUGUACAGCCGGCUACGUCAACGUCUUCCUUUGCCGGUCACCGCCACCAUUGUUGCCGGUGAGAUCACCCCGAACCUCCGUUCUUCGAUUCCUUUCACCGGUAGACUCAUGUGACCCUUACCUUCCUUUGUGACAAGGUUUCGUGACCUCUUGAUGCUGUUGGCCGCGCCGUCCCGAACCCAUGCCGAAGCCGUGUUCGGAGCUCCGCCCGUCGCCAUCCGGAGAUGCUAUGACCGCGCAAGCCGCGUCACGGUGUCCGCCUCGACGUCUUCCACGGCCCCAUCGAAUCCUACGUCGACAUCGUCGCCGUCCUCUUUCAACUCCGGCGAACUCCGUGUAUUUUCCAGUGAGCAACUUUUCAGCCGCAGCAGUUUUGAUUAGCCAUGUUUCGAAGGCCAUAUCUUUUGAUCAGUGUAUCAUUUUUGGCUGAAUCGUUCUGUUGUAGUUAGACCACGUCCACCUAUCUAGACCAGACCAGAUUGUAUACCCCGUAUCUAUGAUCUUCAGUACGGCAUCUUCGUUGGAAAUUGGUAUUCACAGUAUGCUGUUUCUGGAUUAGCCACCUUUCGAAAUUAAUAUAAAUUAUUCCAUUGAUCCGUUUGGUUCCAAACCUUCUGUAUAUCAUCAAUUAGAUCAUUUUCUACACAUUAGUGUACAUCUUUUACAACUUAGGAUUCAUCUACAGAGGUGCAUCUUCAAUCAAAAGUCGUAUCUGUUAACACUGUCACAUCAGUUAGCUAUCUUCCGGAGCCCAUAUCUUUUGACCCAUUAUUCCAAAUUAGAUGAUUUUUUCUGUCAUGUCAAGAUCAAAUCCAAACCUAAAUCCUAGACAUCUUUUAACACCUUUCCAAGUUCAUCCACACUAGUGCAUCGUCAUUGCAAAACAGUACCGUCAGCAGGUUCCCACACUUGGCCAAUUCUAAGCCGUUAGUUUCAGAAACUUUGUUAUAGAUUACCCUUUUUUGUAAGCCUGUAUCUUUUGACUCAAAACUCCUAUUUAGGUCAAACCAGCGGCGUUUGAAAUAUUUUUAGAUACAGUUUAGUUCAUCCCAUUGGUCCUCUGUCUUUUGAAGCAAUUAGUACCAGUACAUUUUAAGUAGAAAUUAGUAUCUUUAAUCUGUCAGAAUCAGACUAGCCAGCUUUGCAAGCCAGUAGCUAAUUCUCUGUAGAUCCUUUUGGGAUUAGACUUGUUGGGUUAGCAAGUAAAAUCUUAAUAAUAUACAGUAGUAUACUUUUCAUCCCAUGUUCUGCCAUUUAGCACCAUUUGCCAAACAGCCAAAGUAUCUAAGUUAUAACAGUUCCUAUAGACUUAAAUUCCAGACUUAGCCACAUUAGUCCAUGCCCAACCAAACUUUAUAUCUGUUAACACUAUCUUAUUGAUUAGCAAUGUUCCAAAGCCCAUACAUGUUGAUCCAUAUUUUUAAACUAGUUCAUUCUUUCUAUAGUGACUAGAGUACACCAAACUCUAAUUUCUGGACCACUUUGUACACCUUCCAAGGUUAAUCUACAGUAACCCAUGACCCCUAGAAAAUUGUAUCUGUCAACAAACAUUGACUUCACCGUUUCAACUCCGAUAGAACCCAAGCCUUGUUCCUACCUCUUAGAUCUAUGCCUAGGAUAGCCUAACAGUAGUUAGGUACUGUUUAAUUUGAACUUUGUAUAUUGCUUUGGUUCUUUAUUUGAAGUUAUGAUUUGGAGUUCUCGAAUAGUUAUUUAUUAUUGCUUUUCGUUCUUCGCGAUAGAUUAUACGGAGUGCGGUAACUGUGAGUAUCAAAAAGAAGAAGAAUACAAAGAUACUAAUCAGGUAAGUUCACUUUGAUCAUUUACCCAUUAUUUUAUUAUGCACUAGAUUUUAUUAGUUGCAUUGUCAGAAUUAUUAUUGUAUCUAUGCUAGCUAUGAUCUGUCCUAGUAGUAUAGGAUACCUUUGCCAUGACUUCACCACCAAUUGCCAUCGUAGUAGUAAGAGGCUAUGCUAUGUUAAUAUACGAGGGUGGUAUUGUUACAAUGUGAUACUAUUGAAUUACAAUAUGAUUUUCCUAGUGUAUGGCAAAACAAGUAAUUCAAUGAAUCGUCCUGGGUGGGCUGCUUUGAGUAUUCGGAUGUCGUGACGUUAGGUCCAUUUCUAUGGGACCCGCUGAGUCGUCUCUCCGUGUGAUUCGGGAGCGUCCAUGGUCGUCUCCCCGUGCGAUUCGGGGAGCGCCUGCGUCACAAUGUGGGAUGCCACCCGGGAUAACCAGAGACUGGACUAGUUUCCUAUUUAGUAGCUUCCAGUACAACCACAUGGUAUUAUGGGCUCUGCCAGGAUGGAUGUAAGAAAUAUGAACCCGGAUCCGAGGUGACAUCGGUAUGUAGCAGUGUAGGUGGGGGCGCAUCCCUCAGGUGGUCUGAGGGAUUAUGUUCCGAAAAUUCCUAUAGUCGAUGCCGUUGCUACUCUACCUUGAGGACAGCAAGGGAUUAACACGUCGAUUUCUUGUGGGUAAAGUGUACCACCUCUCGAGAGUGUCAAACUAAGUACUUAGCCGUGUCCCCGGUUACGGACAAUUAUGAGCAACUAGAUAUUGGAGCUGUAAGGAAAGUCUCACUCAUUCUAAUUUCCUAAUAAAAUGAAUGGUUUGAACUGGGUAGGAGCAUUGAUGUUUCUACUCAAUGUGCCUAGGUUAAUAGGAGCAUGGGUGUUUCUACCCCGUGUCCCAUAAAAUUCAAAGCUAUUUAUCUAAAAAUGAUAGGAUUUGAAUAAUGAUGCUUUUAUGCAAAUUAGCCAAACCCCACCAAGCCAAACUAUGUAUGUACUUGGUAGGUCCUUUAUAACUCUAGUGAGCUUGCCAAUACAUUCAAAUGUAUUGACCACGUAGUGGCUGCAAUUAACAAUGUAGGUGGAUCCGACGAUGAGUGAGGUUCGUCGUUUUGUCAUGGGUCAUGUGCUUACAUUCCAACAUGCUCUCACCUUGGGGUAGUGUGGCCCUUAUGUUCUAUCCUUUUUCCGCUGCAGUUUUGAAACAUUGUUUUAUGAUGAUAAAACAGUAUUUGUUUUAGGCUGACCCCAGAGGUCAUGCGAGGUUGUAAGUACUAUUAAAUUCUGGAUGAUGCGAUGUAAUAAAAUACUUUGACCUUUGCUUCUGUGUAUUUCAUCAUGAAACUGUGUGUGCUAGUGAGUCGAUCCAGGGACUAGCACAGUAAGCACAGAGAUCGAACCCUUGGUGAAGGGGGAUCGCUUCAUUAAAAUGCAAUGCAGCAACUAUAUAAAUGUUCAUAGAUGUUCGAUGUGCCAGGAACAUAGUUAUGUGGUUGGGUUUAGAUAUAGGACUAUAUGGCAACACAGUCAUGUAAAUGUUGAGCUGGUUUCUGUUAGAUGGCUGCUACACGUAAACAGAAUAUGGUGUCGUUUUCGUAGGUCAGACCGUGCAAUCUAAACGACCAUGUGGCAACUUUAGAUUCAAUCAUCUGGCAGGUUUACCUACAUGUAUGGUGGUAAUGGAUUGGGUUAGCUACCGGGUUAGAGUCAAAAUAUCCAAUUAUGCUAGAUAUUGUUGAGAUGGUUUCUGUUAGAUGGCUACUACAUGUAAACAGAAUAUGGUGUCGCUUUCGUAGGUCAGACCGUGCAAUCUAAACGACCAUGUGGCAACUUUAGAUUCAAUCAUCUGGCAGGUUUACCUACAUGCAUGGUGGUAAUGGAUUGGGUUAGCUACUAGGUUAGAGUCAAAAUAUCCAUUUAUGCUAGAUAUUGGGCUAGCGUCAAUCAACAAACACACACACUUAGGCACAUGUAAUCCAGAAUCAGCAGCAUGCAUACACAGCCCAUAGUUGAAAGUACUCAGAUUUUUUAUAACAACCACAGUUGGAAUAACCAAUUCAUCCAAUUUUUUAGCCGGAGGCAAGUAUACUUUUCGUGCAUAAUUAGGACAAUUAUAUUGGUCUGUACGCAGGAUCUCUAAAUCAUCGUUUUUGUUUGGAAUCGAGUGUAGGAAGUGGUUACAUAGUUGGAUUUGGGGAGGUUGAGAAGUUGGUGUCACCUUUUUUCUGGACAUUUCUUUCUGGGGAGAGGGGAUUCGAUCAACAAUGUUGGGGCAUGUUCUUCAUCAUGUUGGUGGCAAUUCUACCUGUUUUUUGGCGAUGGAUUUCUGCUGUUUUUUUGAUGGAGAGGAACCCCUUAUGGCGUGGCUGCCAUGGGCGCCGCCAUGCCCUAAUCCCCCCUCUCCUGUUCUCCCGUCCUUGUCCUUCUCUCCUUCUCCGGCGUCGUCCCGUUCUUUGGAGGUAGAGUCUUGUUGGCAACUUGGGAAAGAAGAUAGAAAACAGGGCCCAACCAACCGCAGGCCUCAGUUUGUUUGCUUUUUUUCGCUGGCAAUUUUGAGAUAUCCAUUAUGGCAACUCUUCUCCUUUUUUCUUCCCCGGGCCGUAAUUGAACUUCACGCCGGAGAGCUUGGCGACUAGCGUCACGCCAGAGCAUUCGAGCACGCACGGUACGAGCUCGCGCUCGCUCAAGAAGAAGCUGGCCACUAGCGUCGCGCCAGAACGUUCCAGCGCGCACGGAAACAGCUCGCGCUCGCGUGCUGCCGCGCGCACGCACUCGCGCAGGAAGAAGCUGGCAACUAGCGUCGCGCCAAAGCGUUCCAGCACGCACGGUACGAGGUCACGCUCGCGUGGCACCCUGACGUGGCAAGUCCGUAGUUCACGGCGCGACGGGCUGCACGUUUCUAGCGCGAACGUCGCGCGGUAUUCCAGCCCAUAUAUAAUUCACAUUUGUUUGUCACUUUUGCCGCGCCUCUCUGUGCUCGAUCCUCCUUUCACGUUUAACUUAUAUCGAUUCACCGAACACACCAACGAACAGAGAUUAAAAUUUCGUACGUUGAUGUGAGGCUUCGUAGUCAGACGUGACCAGCGAGCAGAACUCUGUUUAGUUAGACCCACCUGAACCAGCCAAUGCACCACCGGCCAACGAAGCCACAGGAACAAGGCGAUUGGGUUUGAAAAAUAACACAUUGCGGCAGUUCCUAGAAACGAGUCAAAAACUACUACUCUCUCGGUUCCUAAAUGUAAAAAUGUGUUAAGAUCUACAAUAUGAAAUGUUUACACUACCAAUAUAUAUAUAAUUAUGUAUUUAAUAAAACUAAAUUGAAGUUCUAUAUGUUCGUGGAUUUUUCUAUACACUUGAUCAAACUUAAAAAAGUUCGACCUAGCAUAAAGUUAUCAAGUUAUAAUUUCUCAUAUUUAAAAACAGAGGUAGUACAAGGAAAGACUAACAUAAAAAUCAAACUAUAACAACAUUGUUUUCGAACAUUUGUUACUCCAUCUGUUUCUUGUUUCUUGAUGUCUAUACAGUUAUGGUUGUUUUAAAUCAAACUUUAUCAAUCUUGACGUGUCUUUGGACUUUGGUCAGCAAGCCACUUCGGACGGUCAAAGGGUCUCGGAUAUGUUUAGGACUUUGUGCGAACAACUCAAUUAACAUGCAGUUUCAUAACUAUAGGACUAGCUUGGCACAUCUUCAGCAAUAUUAGGACUACAGGUAACAGGUGCGUUUUACUCGUUUUGAAACUCUACAUGAUCCAACAGUAUGGAUGGAUUAACACACUAUCAUAAGAAAAUAUGUAACAUUAUCUCAAUUUAUAGUAGAGGAGGAAUCGUUGGAUGUAAGAAAGGCUCGAAGCAAGUGCCCAGUGCGGCACAACAAGCUAUCGUUCCCGGCCACUUUCAGAGUGUGGCUACGCGGGUUGUUCCUGACCACAUCCCCUGAAAUAGUUAGCUUGAAUCAGCCGUACUUUCGCCGGUGACCUAAUUAACACCGGGGUGCGACGAAGCCCCUGCGCCAACACGCGCGCAAUCCAUGUCUCCAAUUAAACCCAGACAGACCAACGGCAUUUUUCAGGAGAUCAGAGGGAUGGAUCAGCUAUUAGGUAAAGCUGGGCUGCCAAACCGACCAAUCACCAAAUCAUGUCAGAAAUUAACACUUGCGUGGAGCCGUUGAGGUCUGCUGUGGCACUGCAUGUUUAAUUUGGUGUGUAGGCCGGCUUAAGACGCUUGCAAAUGAAAUGACCCAUUUUCCAGGCAGGUUCCGGCUGCACUCCUUAGAACUUCUUUCAGAGCAAAGCAAGUACACAAUCUUGAAAUGUAAGGCACAGGUGGUUUGGUGAAUUCGCCGACCAUUAUCAUCACUCAGGAAGUCAGGAUUCAAAAUCCCAAACAAAUAUUAAACCACACGUAACUAUAGACACGUAUAGGAAUAGAGAUCACGCAGGAAAAACGAAGCAAGUAAGCAACCACCGAAAUGCAGGCCACCUAACAGGUAACAUGCACGAGCUGACGAGCAAAGGGCCUCCAUUUGGCAUGCUAUAAAUACCAGGCUUCCCUUCAAUUCCCAGAGAUCACAGAAAGAAAGUAGCUUCUCACUCAUCUGAUACACCAAGAUAACAAGUGCAAAGCCAUUAUAUUCACCAUGGGGUGCAAGAUUGUCUUCGUUAUGGCGCUGCUGCUGCUCUCAUGUAGUUCCAUGAGCAGCGCGGCACGCCACCUGGAGGAGAUCGUGCCAAAGGAGAAUCAGCACCCGUCAUAUCCCACCGUGCCAAAGCCUGAAGUCCCGGCGCAUCCCGCCGUGCCCGAGCUGCCCAAGCCUGAAAUGCUGCACCCAGUUGUGCCCGAGGCGCCUAAGGAGCACCAGGUGCCGCACUCCGUCGUGCCGGAGGUGCCAAAGGAGCAUGAAGUGCCGCACCCCGUCGUUCCAGAGCUGCCGAAGCCCGAACUGCCGCCACACCUUACUGUGCCAGAGCUCCCCAAAGCUGAACUGCCACAUCCUGCCUCCUUACCCGAGGUGCCACACCCUGUCGUGCCGGAGGUGCCAAAGGAGCACGAAGUACCCCAUCUCGCCGUGCCGGAGCUGCCAAGGCCUGAAAUGCCACGCCCUGCCAUGCCGGAGGUGCCCAAGGAGCCCCAUGUGUCGCACCCCGUCGUGCCAGAGUUGCCCAAGCCAGAGGAGCCAAAGCAUGAACUGCCACCAUUCCCGAAAGCCGAGCUGCCACCCAAGCCUGAAUUCCACUUCCCGGAGCCGGAGGCCAAGCCAUGAUCGCACAUUCGAACUAGCUACACCUGUGAAGCGUAGCGCCGGUUCUGAGUUUUAAAAUAUGCAUGUAUGGGUGUUCAGCGCGUGUGUGAGGAUUGUGUAAGUUGUGUACUGUUCAUGUCGUUUGCCUGAGCUCUCUGGUUCGUUGGUGAGUGCUGGCUCUGUCAUUAGCAAGGAGCCAGCGGGGUGUACGUCCGAGUGGUGUUUUUCGUGCUCCAGCAGCUUUAUUCUUUUUACGUUUGUAUGCGGUGUUUAUGGCCGGUGUGUGCGCUGCACACGAGUGAUACAGCUUUGAGUAUUUUGACUGGAUUUAUAUAUACUACUACAUCACUGAGUUUUUCAGAUCUUGACUGUGUUAAAUACUUCAGAUAAUGUCAAAUUUUCAUGUGUUCUAUAUUUUUGUAAAAGAUUCUAGAUCAUAGCUUUCUUGUUUUUACCAGAGUCCAAGAGGACACUCAAUCUAUUAAUUAAACUGAAGAGAAUUUCUAACACUUGAUUAAAGAAAAAAGAACGAAAUCUAACACUACCCCGUCCACAAAUAAGUAUACAUAUGAGAAUUUCAAGACAAUUAUGAAGCAAGGUAGAAAAUGCAUUAGGAAUAUACGAACCACCAUCUCUCUCCUCUUUAAUUCUUUUACCUCUAUGAGCUAAGUGCACAGAGAAAUAUUAUUGAUUUCCGUGUGACAAGAGAGAAGGAAUUUUUUUUACUCUAAAGUGCUUUGAAAAGAGAGAAGUACACUCUUUUGUGAACAAAUUUUAAAGCUAAAUGUACACUUAUUUGUGGACUAAGUGAGUACAUCUGUAGACCCAUGCCAUCUCAACCCUGAUAUAAUCAAAGACGCAUAAACUCGAUAGAUAGAUCGAUACAUAGAUCCUGUUGUGGAAGAGGCAUCCAGCGCAAACCACACCAGGUGUCAUCUUCAUCACCUGUUAUCCUAACCAAUUUUACAUAAUCAACUGUUUAAUAAUCUAAAUUAUAUCUUUUUAAUAGAGCUUGCUUGCUCUUAAUCAGAAUGUAAAUUGGGACCAACGUCUUAUAUUUAUGAGCAGGGUAGUACUAAAUACUCCCUCCCUCCGGUCCAUAAUAAUUAUCGCUCAUUUUGUACAAUUUUAGUACAACUGUGUACUAAAUCAACAACGUUUAUUAUGAAUCGGAGAGAGCAGUGAGUUACAACUUUAAUUUGAUUUGUCAAACAGAGAAAAAAGAUGUAUAAUAUUAAUUUGCCAUAGGGAAAACUGGAUAGCACCGGCCUCACCUGCCCCCAAAUAAAAUUAUAAAUCCUUCACUAAAUUACUGCAAACGAAUACUGCCCAUUUGUGCAAGAUGAACCCGCUAUAAUGGAGACGUUCCCAUAAGAUUUAUUUUUUCUAGCUUUAUCCUUGUUUUGCCAUGAUGCGACAACUUAAAAAAUGUAUGCACAACAUUAUGUGUGAUCAAAGCAAAAAUGAAACUAGGAUAAUCUUCUAAGAAAAAUAACUUGAAAGUACAAAUUUUGUGAAAAAUCACUUUCACGUGACUUUCUUUGUUUUUUGCGGGGAAACUUUCACGUGACUUUCAUAUAUAAGAAAUAAAAAAAUCCAUAUAUACACCAUCCCAACACGAUACCACAAAUUAAGAUCCUCACUGCAGUAUUUUAGUAAGAUGCAACCCAACCACAUAAUUCACUUGGCAUAAUGUGCAGAGAUAUACAAAGUGGAUUUCUUCUUUAUCUGUAUGCUUUGGUGGAGUGCAAAUAUUAGGUGGUGCAGCACUAGAUAGUCUAACGUACGUGAAGACUUGUCACACCAACAUCAACAUGAAAAAGGAAAGGUCAUGCUGUGGUCACUCUCAUCUCGAUACGGAACCAUCCAAAGUCAAAGCAUCUCGUCAUAGCUUAACUCUGUUCCUCACCAGCCGCUAGCAGGUGACCUGACACCGGCCGGUAGGGUCAGGUGGACGCUCCUACGCGAACGCGUUUGCAGGCGAUCCAUGCAUAUCCAUCAUAUAUCCACCAACAACGCGACAGUUCGACGAGAGCUGUUUCGAUUUCAGAUAGUCAGAUGACCGAACCCGAUCGAUCAGGGACAGGUAGGUAGCGAUUCGCACGCAAGCGAGGAAAGCGCACAAAACGACCGGAAAUUACCACCAAGGUAGCUUAGCUGCAGCUAAAUUACUGCCAGAUCCAUCGAGAUCGAUCACCAAAGAUUACUCGUCACCAAAUGAACCCCCAAAACUUCAGACGCACUUUGCAUUUCGGUGCGCAGGCUGAGAAAUGGCCGUGGCAUUUGCCAUCCGAGAGACAGACCCCUCUGUAUUUUGUUGUACGUAGCCUUAUCGAUCGAUACCUUUACCCUGGAUGCCUAGUGUACUAGACUCAACUAGUCAACUGUGUGAAGAGUUAGCUAACUAGCUAGAUCGUGUGGAAAAUCGCGUUAUCAUUAAACUGAACUUCAAAAAAUAUUGUACUCCUGAACGGUGACAUGCAUUUUUCAACACUUUGCAGAACUACCAAAACCAAACAUUUGGUCGAUCGGCUGAGAAAAUGGCCAUACCAACAUGUAAAAAAAGUCCCACGUACUGCAAUGCUCGUUAAUUGUAGAUUGUGCUUGGAAGUUAGAACCACAUGAGAGAGCUAAUAAGCAUUUCGUCACCGGCAUUGACUAGUGACUACUGCAUAUGGCUCAAAUUCACUCUUGUCUCUGGCCUUUUUGUUGAACAAUCUUACAUUUUCUCGUUGUUAAUUAAGCAAAGAUGCAUAGACGCGUGUACGAGUAAACACGUGUGUGCAUGACAUGUAACCCUACUUGUGAAUGUGCACCAAUUAGGUCACCCACGUCUCAGUAUUCUCAACUAAUUAAACUACACACAAGCAGAGAUCAGGAGAUUGAUCACACGCGGGGGCUAGGCCAAGCAACCACACCGAGCUGCAGGUGAGCUGCCAUGUACCAAACAUGCAGAGAGUUUCGCUUUGAGGUGCUAUAAAUACACAGCUUCUCAGCUCUCCUAGACAUCUCACCAAGAACAAGCUUAAUUCUAGUUAACACACACAAGUGCAAAGCAUUCACCAUGGAUGCCAAGAGCAGAGUGUCCUCGGUCUUCUUCCUUGUGGUGCUGCUGCUCUCAUGCAGUUGCAUGACCAGGGCGGCACGUUACCUUGAGGAGAAAGUACCAAAGGAGGAGGUGCCCAAGAUGCCCGAGCUGCCACAUCCAGUUGUGCCGGAGGUGCCAAAAAAGCCAGAAGAGUCGCAUCCCGUUGUUCCGGAGCUACCAAAACCCGAACUACCCCACCCAGUUAUGCCGGAGGUGCCAAAGAUGCCCGAAGUUCCCCAUGUCUCGAUUCCAAAAGUACCAAAGUCUGAAAUCCCGCAUCUGGUUGUGCCAGAGGUACCAAAGGCGCCUGAAGUGCCACACCCCACCGUGCCGGAGGUGCCUAAGAUGCCCGAAGUGCCACACCUGAGUACACCAGAAGCACCAAAGGUGUCUGAAGUGCCACACCCUACCAUGUCAGGGGUGCCAAAGAUGCCCGAACUUUCCCAUCCAGUCAUGCCAGAGGUUCCAAAGGUGUCUGAAGUGCCACACCCUGCUGUGCCGGAGGUGCCGAAGAUGCCAGAAGUGCCACACCCUGCUAUACCAGAAAUGCCGAAGGCAUCUGAACUUCCACACCCCGAAGUGCCGGAGGCGCCAAAGAUCCGCGAAGUUCCACAUCCUGCCGUGCCAGAGCUGCCAAAGAUGCCAGAAAUGCC
rnacentral:lncRNA from 1 species